UAUACAGCGAAACUGCGAAUGGCUCAUUAUAUAAGUUAUCGUUUAUUUGAUAGUGCCUUACUACUUGGAUAACCGUGGUAAUUCUAGAGCUAAUACAUGCUAAAAACCCCGACUUCGGAAGGGGUGUAUUUAUUAGAUACAAAACCAAUGCCCUUCGGGGCUCUUUGGUGAUUCAUGAUAACUAUACGAAUCGCACGGCCUUGCGCCGGCGAUGGUUCAUUCAAAUUUCUUCCCUAUCAACUUUCGAUGUUUGGGUAUUGGCCAAACAUGGUUGCAACGGGUAACGGAGGGUUAGGGCUCGACCCCGGAGAAGGAGCCUGAGAAACGGCUACUACAUCCAAGGAAGGCAGCAGGCGCGCAAAUUACCCAAUCCCGACUCGGGGAGGUAGUGACAAUAAAUACUGAUACAGGGCCCUUUCGGGCCUUGUGAUUGGAAUGAGUACAAUUUAAAUCCCUUAACGAGGAACAAUUGGAGGGCAAGUCUGGUGCCAGCAGCCGCGGUAAUUCCAGCUCCAAUAGCGUAUAU
rnacentral:rRNA from 1 species